rnacentral:rRNA from 1 species
UACAGAGGUCUCAAGCGUUGUUCGGAUUCAUUGGGCGUAAAGGGUGCGUAGGCGGCCAGGUAAGUCAGGAGUGAAAGUUUGCGGCUCAACCGUAAAAUUGCUUUUGAUACUGCCAGGCUAGAAUUAGGAUGAGGUCAGCGGAAUGUGGCAUGUAGCGGUGAAAUGCAUAGAUAUGCCAUAGAACACCAAUUGCGAAGGCAGCUGGCUAGACCUGGAUUGACGCUGAGGCACGAAAGCGUGGGGAGCGAACAGG